AACCAGUGAUCUACCUCACCGGAGGGCAGCAGGACUAGUGUUCCAAGAGAAAGGAAAGACCAGGCUUCUUGGGAAGGAAGGUUGAAGGCUACUAGCAUCUCUGCCUGAAGCAGUUGUCUUACUUUGCCCAACAGCAAAUGAUGAACUUCUGUACCACCCUUAGGUCUUAACCACACCAUACUGUUAUCACUUUGUGCAUACAUUUUCUAGGGGAUUUUUAAAAGUUGUACAUCCUGCAAAAUAGACAGCUAUGAACUUGCAUGUUCUGAAAUGAAGAACUCAAAAACUUUGGACGUGGCUACAAGCUUUGCUGGAGCAGAAAGAAGAAGAAGAAGAAGAAGAAGAAG